UACGUAGGGCGCAAGCGUUAUCCGGAAUUAUUGGGCGUAAAGAGCUCGUAGGCGGUUUGUCGCGUCUGCCGUGAAAGUCCGGGGCUCAACUCCGGAUCUGCGGUGGGUACGGGCAGACUAGAGUGAUGUAGGGGAGACUGGAAUUCCUGGUGUAGCGGUGAAAUGCGCAGAUAUCUGGAGGAACACCGGUGGCGAAGGCGGCAUCCUGGACCAACACUGACGCUGAGGAGCGAAAGCCAGGGGAGCAAACGGG
rnacentral:rRNA from 1 species